rnacentral:rRNA from 1 species
CAAAGAACUUUGAAGAGAGAGUUCAAAAGGACGUGAAACCACUUGCAAGUAAACAGAUGGAACCACGAAGUGUAGCUGAGAAGAGAAUUCAUUUUUACUUAAGGUACAAUUGUAUUUGAGAGUAGUUUGUUUACUUGUCUUGCUACUUGUUGGUGGUAUAGGUUAAGUAAAGCAAUAGCUCUCUUUACAAAUAACUAUGUUGCUCUUAUAGUAAAUGCAUUUUCACUCUUCUCAUGCUCGAGCCUUGUACAAUAGGGUAAAUAUAAAAAUGCACAGGGAAAAUACACAUAGCAUAUACAUUCUAUGUAUUCAGUAGCGUAAGGUUCAUUUAUACUUGUAGAAUUGUCUAUAUAGUUAUAAAUGUUUACUAUGCUUUGCUGUUUUAUAUUAUAUAGUGUGUUGAUUGUUAUUGGUUAUUUGUGCUAUUUUUGUUGUAUGUUAUUUGUAUGUUUUGUUUAAAGCAGGCUGCAAAGAAGCAUGCAAUAAUAAUAUUACAAAGAUACAAUAAUAUAUCACCAUAAGCACACUAUUAUAAUAUAAGUAAAAUCUAUUUUCCUCCCUAUUGUUUAUGAAAGUUUCUCUAAGGAGAAUGAUUAGUGCAUGAUUAAGGGUAGGAUAUCUGUUUGCCAUAUUUGUCUAUCAUUGUAUAUAUUAAUUUGAUUGUUACAAUCUUAUUCGUAUAUCGAAUGAGAGUAACAGAUUGAUAGAUUGACUGAAUAUGCAUUCUAGAUAAUUGAAAAAAAAACUACC